rnacentral:rRNA from 1 species
CUGUGGCCCCAAGUCAGGCGAGGCCCACCCGCCGAGUUUAAGCAUAUAAAUAAGCGGAGGAGGAGAAACUUACGAGGAUUCCCC